UCCGUCAGCACUCACCCAAUGGGCACCACCCGCCCGCCGGCGCCCUCCACGAACUUCACAUAGGAGGCGGCUAUGUAGCUGGUGCCAUUGAAGUAUUGCAAAGUUUG